rnacentral:snRNA from 1 species
GGAUGUGAGGGUAAUCUGGCUGCAACAUCUGUCACCCCAUCAAUCACCAGGGUUGAUUUGGCUGAUCUGACUGGCUAAGCAAGUGUCCCGUUCCUCCCUAACCACUCUAUGUGUGUUCCACCUAAAGCUGUGCACUCAUUUGAAGAGGACGGCCUUCCUGGAAUACAGAUGGAUCCGUUGUCGAGGGUUUAUGUAGGUGCACUCCCCUGGUAGAACCUCCAAACAGGCUCUCAAGGUUCAAAGUAAACCAAGUUCCCAAAUUGGUGGAGGUGAUCUU